AUUAGACACAUAGACUUAGGUGGCAGUGGCACCCAGCAGGCUGCAAGAUCAGCGUCGAACGCGCUUAUCUUCAAAGUUCAAACCAAACCAAACCAGUCUUGCGCCCGCCCCGUGCAGAUAAUAACAAUCAUUCAGUCAGAUUUACACAUUGCAACUCUGUCAUCUCUGUCCUUUUUCCUUGCUUUGUCAGCAUCUCAAUCUCUUUCAACCUUGACGUAGUUGUGGUUUUGUCGUCAUAACGAUAAAUAAUGUUCCAAUUUCAGCCAUCCACAUGUUCCUCGUUAAUUUUGGGUUAGACAAAUACAAGUCAGAGAAAGCAUCGUAUAAGGCGUCGGUUUCUUGUCAUUCAAACAUCUGAUCUCUCGCGUAUAUUCUGGACGUUUAAACAAAAGCAAGCAUUUAUAGGAAAAGGGUCUGGGGAUUUUGGUGUCGGGUUGAGGAGUUAAAGCGUAUUUGGAGGAGUAGCUAUGACGAAAUGGGCGAAAGAAGAAGUGGUUUUCUUCGAAAGUGGGGAAGAGGAUGGGGAUGUAGAAGAGGGGAUGGAAUCAGAAGAAGAAGAAGAAGAAGGAGACAAAAGUGUUGCUGAUGUUGAUAAUGAAAGUGGACGUCGUAGUUUUUCGCCUUCUUCUUCGUUCAUUUCUCAACAAUGGCCUCAGAGUUGCAAAGAAACAACGGAUUUCUACUCAAUUGCAGCAUCGCCAAAUUUCGGAAAUCUUCGGGGCAUAUCUGGUGCAUUUUAUCCUGACGGCAGCAGUCAGAAUAGCUUGGACAUUAGUGGGAAGACACCUUUGCUUUCCGAGUACAAGAACAUAAAUCAGAAAGGAGAAGUAGAUAGGAUAUCUGCAAGGCAGUCCUCUUGGCUGGAAAAGAGUUCUGUUUACCGACAAUUGACUGGAGAACUUCCUAUUGGUCAGGGAUGUAACUUAACACAAACUAUAUUCAAUGGGAUAAAUGUUAUGGCUGGAGCUGCACUUCUUUCUACACCUUAUACUGUUAGAGAAGGUGGCUGGGCAAGUUUGUUUGUGCUUAUUCUCUUUGCAUGUGUCUGUUGCUAUACUGCUGAACUUAUGAGACACUGCUUUGAAAGCAAAGAAGGCAUCUUAACCUUUCCAGACAUGGGAGAGGCAGCAUUUGGGAGAUUUGGACGGAUUUUUGUUUCUAUCAUCUUGUAUGCGGAAUUAUAUACAACAUGCGUGGAGUUUAUAAUUCUAGAAGGAGAUAACCUGUCCAGAUUAUUCCCUCGUGCAUCUAUGGAUUUUUCUGGUUUUCAACUGGAUUCCACGCAUUUGUUUGGAGUUUUAACAGCUCUUGUCAUUCUACCCACUCUUUGGCUAAAAGAUCUACGCUUGAUCUCUUAUCUUUCAGCUGGAGGGGUCAUUUCAAAUGUAAUCGUAGUUUUGUGCCUAUUUAUUCUUGGCACAGUAGAUCAUGUUGGAUUUCAACAUAAUGGUCCAUUAGUGAACUGGAGCGGUAUUCCUUUUGCUAUUGGGGUCUAUGGGUUCUGCUAUUCAGGGCACUCUGUUUUCCCAAACAUCUACCAAUCAAUGGCUGAUAAAACCAAAUUUACUAAAGCAGUGGUCAUAAGUUUCAUGCUAUGUGUUUUACUAUAUGGUGGUUCUGCAAUCAUGGGAUUUCUUAUGUUUGGUCAAAGCACAAAAUCUCAGAUUACUCUGAAUUUGCCAAAACAUGCAGUUGGUUCGAAAAUUGCAUUGUGGACGACAGUUGUCACCCCACUCACUAAAUAUGCCCUGUUGAUGAAUCCCUUGGCUAGAAGUAUAGAAGAGUUGCUUCCUGCUAGGUUCUCUGAUAAUCUCUGGUGCUUCAUUUCUGUAAGGACAGCACUUGUCCUAUCUUCUCUCUGUGUUGCAUUCGUUCUUCCUUUCUUUGGUCUGGUGAUGGCUCUAGUUGGUUCGCUCUUUAGCAUUCUUAUGGCUGGAAAAGUUGUUCUUGAAGUGCCAUGUAUGUUGGGAUGUGGAAUCAUACAGAGAGCUGUUUGUAUUGCUUUUUCGUGUUCUAAACCAAGCUAGGCAAUUGUAAUGCCAGCACUAUGCUUUGUGAAAAUAUUGGGGAAAAAGGCAAACAGAACUCAGGUUGUGCUCAGUAUUGCUAUUGUUGCACUGGGAUUGGUGAGUGCAUGCGUGGGGACUUAUAAUUCAGUAUCAAAUCUUGUCAAGAAAUACUAAAUUUCUGUAACAUGAGAAUUCAUAUUGUUGCCUUGCUCUGUAAGGACAUGCACUUGAAGUCCCUGAGGCUAUUUUUUUUGUAGUAGAUCUAAUCUCAUCAAGGUGUAUUUGCACCAAAAAGGAGGAGGUUUUUUAAGUCACAGUUGUGUAUCCUUCUAAUUAAAUUCUCCUUAUUGUCAUAUGUAAUAACAGGAACUGCAAUUAGACAGUAAUCUUUCCAAUAGCUGCUGCAUUUCUUCUUUUCAAGAUA